GACGAACGCUGGCGGCGUGCUUAAUACAUGCAAGUCAACGAUAACCAGGGUGCUUGCAUCCUGGGGAAAGUGGCGCACGGGUGCGUAACACGUAGGUAAUCUGCCCUUAGGACUGACAUAACUCCGGGAAACCGAAGCUAAUAUCAGAUAAUGCAGCGGCUCGGCAUCGAGACAGUUGUUAAAUCUUCGGAGCCUAAGGAUGAACCUGCGUCCCAUUAGGUAGUUGGUGGGGUAAAUGCUCACCAAGCCUUCGAUGGGUAGCUGGUCUGAGAGGAUGAUCAGCCACACUGGAACUGAGACACGGUCCAGACUCCUACGGGAGGCAGCAGUAAGGAAUAUUGCACAAUGGCCGAAAGGCUGAUGCAGCAACGCCGCGUGGAGGAUGAAGGCAUAUUUGUUGUAAACUCCUGUAAGAAGGGAAAAAUGGGUCUGCUUGCAGACUUUGAUUGUACCUUCAGAGUAAGCCCCGGCUAACUACGUGC
rnacentral:rRNA from 1 species